rnacentral:lncRNA from 1 species
GCCGCUCGUAUAUACAGUGUUCGGGCCAAAGCUGCACUAGCUGCUGCGUGCGAAACACAUUUGACCUCCCUUAAAAUGCUGCAAACUAUGAGGUCUGUGCAUAUGAAACGUAUUGUAUUCACCCUUCAUGCCGAGGCACAUGCAUCGAUGGAGCCCAUGCAUUGCCGUCAGGUACCCCUCGUCCCUAAGAUCUACUGCUGUAACAACCACGCACACAUACUGCUAGUAGUCAUAAGAGCUGUAAUUCCUGUGACCUCUGGUGUCCUGUUCGCGCCAGUUGCACCGCAAACGCUUCCACAUGAACUGUUAAACUGUUUAAAAUUUUCGUAUUCUUAAGUAUCGCGCGUGUGUAUGCUUUGAAAAUACAGGAGAUGGAAAAGGUACGCUUACAGCGCUAGCCGUCAGCGAUUUCUGGCUUACCAGGGUCUCAAGAUCUAGGACCUCUUUUCCGAAAGCACUGAAAGGAGUUUUGCAACGUUAUGUAAUCUUUUCGGGGACUUUCCAUGGACCUGCCGGCGAAGUAAGGGAAUGAUAUGCGCACGCCGCCGAAUAAGUAAUUAUCAGUAAAUUGUUAACCUGCAGGUAUCACGUUGAACUUCUUAAUGCAAUGCCAACAUAAACCAAACAGAACAAGCCUACAACAUGACUUCCAAAGGGUGGCAUGUAUGUUAGAAGCGCCCUGCAUUCCGCUAAGGUACAGCUUGUUUGCUAUUUGGACGGAACAGUCUUUUUUGCGUUCUUUUCCGAGUACCUCUUACACUGCUUGUCCUGCGCAUCCUUUACAUGUACUACGGCUAAGGGAUCCCUUCCGGAUGAUGAAGAAUGUGCUUUAUGCUGGACCAAUUACACAUCACGAUCAGCAUCGAUUAAGCGGCUCCAGGAGCUGGUACCAGCUGGUACCGGCCGGUGCUUAGGGCCCGAUCCGCCGCCGGGAGGACGACUUCCUGAGGCAAACACGACGGACAUCCCGAACGGUGCUUACAUCCGUGUUAUGGAAAAUUGCUCUUACGUGUGUGGACCGGACGGAUGGACAAGAGGCAACGUUUUGCAUCACUUGUUUCUUGGCCGCAAGCAGCAACGUAGUGAAGGACAUGGACGCGCAUGCACAGGCCAUGGAAUGGUAUGUCUAAAUCAUGGAUGGCGACGUUCAACUCUCAGAAUGGUGAUUUCUGCCUUUGGGUUCAAUUCUGAACCUGGAAUGCUGCUGGCUCUGCCCGUACCGGAAAAGUGCUUUCCGGUACGGCGGUGCCAGGAGGUGGUAUCUACGUCGUCUUAGGGGCAACCCUAAGACCAAGGGGAUGAACGAAUACAUAUACACUUUCUGUUUCUUGGCUGCAGCAAGUGUUGUCCUGGGCGCAACGUUGAUGGCCUGAUGCCGACGCGACCUCCUUUACGACAAUGCUAGGCAAACGCAGCGGAUGUUCAUGAAUUACUUAAGCGUUCAUAUUACUCGUCACAGCUUCAACGGCACUGUACUGGGCGGAUGUAAGACGUGCGUUGGUGGACGCGAUGGCCUUACGAAGGGGGAGAAAGACGCUUAGGAGAUGCUUGGAUUGUUAUGUACAAGUCACAGACGGGGACGUUUAACUCUAUGAAUGCUGAGUUUUAGCUACUAGUCGGGUUUUUUGAACUUCGCUGUUGUUGUUUCCGCCCGUACAGGAAAAGUGUCUUCUGAUACGGCGGUCACAGCAGGUAGUAUCCACGUCGACUUGUAUGCAAACCAAAUACAACGAAACCAGGGGAUGAUAUGACAGUUUUGGAAUGCUUGUUUCUUGGCCGCAAGCAGCAGCAUACUUAAAUCGCGUUGGGCCAUUUGCCCAGGCUGCCGCAAGGACGACAAGCCAGGCUAAUGCAGCUGGUGUCCAUGACGGGUUCAUUACGUGCUGAAUAUGAAAGAUUGCUACAAAGACUCUGGCCCUGACGAACGUAAAAUGUGAUGUUCGUAAGGAAGAAAACAGACGCAUAUCCAAGGCAUGGAGCUGUUUGUAGGGAAACCGUAAAUGAAGGUUUAAGGAACUGAACGAUGAAUUCUGCCGGUGUGGUCGGUUCUGGAUCUCUUAUGUUGCUCGUCACGCUCGUACGGAAAAUGGGCAUUUGUUGCAGGAGGGAGUCUGUGUGUCAAGUCGUAGUCGAACCUUUUUCAAAGGGGAUGAGCACACACACAGCUUGCAUUCCAUGUUCACUAAUGUCAGCCCACAGUAAGCUACUGGGCUAGACUUGGAGGGUCCGACCGGGGCAACUCGUUGCUGUGGACUUGUAGGCAAGUCAAGUAGGGCUAUGGAAUGCUAGGACAAUGUUAUUAUGUUUGUGUUAUAGGCUUGGGUAGGAAUUCUUAAGCAAUACGUUGAGUGGCUUUUCCGCCGGCGGGAGGACGACAAUCCCACGCAAACAGGACGGAUGUUCCGAAUGUUGCUUACAUUCAUGUUGUCGAAGCUCGCGACGACGGCUCUGGACAGGACGGAUGUCAAGUGUGCGUUGGUGGACGUGAUGGCAACGUAGUGAAGGACACGGACGCGCAUGCACAGGCCAUGGAAUGGUAUGUCUAAAUCAUGGAUGGCGACGUUCAACUCUCAGAAUGGUGAUUUCUGCCUUUGGGUUCAAUUCUGAACCUGGAAUGCUGCUGGCUCUGCCCGUACCGGAAAAGUGCUUUCCGGUACGGCGGUGUCAGGAGGUGGUAUCUACGUCGUCUUAGGGGCAACCCUAAGACUAAGGGGAUGAACGAAUAGAGAUAUACUUAGGGUUUCUUGNNNNNNNNNNNNNNNNNNNNNNNNNNNNNNNNNNNNNNNNNNNNNNNNNNNNNNNNNNNNNNNNNNNNNNNNNNNNNNNNNNNNNNNNNNNNNNNNNNNNNNNNNNNNNNNNNNNNNNNNNNNNNNNNNNNNNNNNNNNNNNNNGGUGAGAUGGUAAAAAGGCGGAUGUGUGGCGCGGCUACCAUCGUACCCAAUGGGUGCGAUGGUAAACAGGCGGAUGUGUGGCACGGCUACCAUCGUACCCAAUGGGUGCAAUGGUAAAAAGGCGGAUGUGUGGCACGGCUACCAUCGUACCCAAUGGGUGCGAUGGUAAAAAGGCGGAUGUGUGGCACGGCUACCAUCGUACCCAAUGGGUGCGAUGGUAAACAGGCGGCGAUGGUAAACAGGCGGAUGUGUGGCACGGCUACCAUCGUACCCAAUGGGUGCGAUGGUAAAAAGGCGGAUGUGUGGCGCGGCUACCAUCGUACCCAAUGGGUGCGAUGGUAAACAGGCGGCGAUGGUAAACAGGCGGAUGUGUGGCACGGCUACCAUCGUACCCAAUGGGUGCGAUGGUAAAAAGGCGGAUGUGUGGCGCGGCUACCAUCGUACCCAAUGGGUGCGAUGGUAAACAGGCGGCGAUGGUAAACAGGCGGAUGUGUGGCACGGCUACCAUCGUACCCAAUGGGUGCAAUGGUAAAAAGGCGGAUGUGUGGCGCGGCUACCAUCGUACCCAAUGGGUGCGAUGGUAAAAAGGCGGAUGUGUGGCACGGCUACCAUCGUACCCAAUGGGUGCGAUGGUAAACAGGCGGCGAUGGUAAACAGGCGGAUGUGUGGCACGGCUACCAUCGUACCCAAUGGGUGCGAUGGUAAAAAGGCGGAUGUGUGGCGCGGCUACCAUCGUACCCAAUGGGUGCGAUGGUAAACAGGCGGCGAUGGUAAACAGGCGGAUGUGUGGCACGGCUACCAUCGUACCCAAUGGGUGCGAUGGUAAAAAGGCGGAUGUGUGGCGCGGCUACCAUCGUACCCAAUGGGUGCGAUGGUAAACAGGCGGCGAUGGUAAACAGGCGGAUGUGUGGCACGGCUACCAUCGUACCCAAUGGGUGCAAUGGUAAAAAGGCGGAUGUGUGGCGCGGCUACCAUCGUACCCAAUGGGUGCGAUGGUAAAAAGGCGGAUGUGUGGCACGGCUACCAUCGUACCCAAUGGGUGCGAUGGUAAACAGGUGGCGAUGGUAAACAGGCGGAUGUGUGGCACGGCUACCAUCGUACCCAAUGGGUGNNNNNNNNNNNNNNNNNNNNNNNNNNNNNNNNNNNNNNNNNNNNNNNNNNAAAACGUCGGGUUGUAUGUGGUGGAGCAGGUCACUGGAUAUGAAGGGAGGAUCUUGAAUUUGAACAUCAACAUGUUUUCUUCUAUCUUAAGCUCAGGGCCUACUUUAGGUGCAGCACGUUGUGUUUCGGUCACGAGAGAGUGGAUGCAGAUCAUUCAACCGUGUGGGCCUGCUGGUGGCUGUAAGCAGAUAUUGGCGUUGAACUGCUUUUCAAAUGCAGUAGUGCUUCGUAUGCUAAACUGUGAAGCACAUGGAUACCUUACGCCAUGUAAGUAGUGCCAUUCGUUUCAUGCCUAAAUUCACUGCAGCAGUAGUGCUUUUGGAACAGCAGCCUGGAUUUUCAUCCAGUCAAUUAGUGCCUUGCUAAUAAGCGAGGUAAUAUGCAUGAUUGAUGAUAUUGCUUGAAACGUAUGGUUUGCCAAAUAUUAGGCAAAAGGCAGGACAUUUCGUUACAAACCGUUCAAGAAUGUUUGUUCUAAACGACAUUAUCCAUCAACACCGUGAGACAGAGCUAAAAUACAGUCUGAAAACAUCUGACAAGCCUUAACAACGGCUAACAGCACCAAUUCCUGUUCUACUUCUCCAACAUGGUUGUUAACAGCCAGAUCCACCUGCCGCCAGCCCAAACAUCGUCUGACAGCCCCAUCACUGUUAGAGAAUCUGUUAGGCUAACAUUUCCUAACAGGCACGCCUGUUAGCCGCUGUUAGACCCCCUAUGAGUUGGUUGUAUACAACCGGCCUUACACGGGUCCUGUAAGAAGGAAUCAACUCCCUUGGCAUCAUCCUGAGUACUCUUUGCCUGGUCGUCAGUAAAAUUGGAGGUCACCUAUAGGUCGGGCCAUCGCCUCAUAUGUAGGACCGCGGAAUAUGUGGCGUAUAGGUGAUUUCGCGUAUAUAAUCGUAUACAUCACACCUAUAGGCGAUCUGCAGAUAGUAUACAACAGCUGUUGUAUACAGCAUGGUCUAUAGGCCUGUAGGCUAUAGGUUACCAUGUGUACGCAUGCAAAGCUGUGAGAGCCGAAAUAAUCCGUUGUAUAAAGGCAUGCCUUUAUGUAGGCCACUCGUGUAUACAGUGUUCGAGCCAAAGCUGCACUAGCUGCUGCGAAACACCUUUGACCUCCCUUAAAAUGCUGCAAACUAUGAGGUCUGUGCAUAUGAAACGUUUUGUAUUCACCCUUCAUGCCGAGGCACAUGCAUCGAUGGAGUCCAUGCAACGCCGUCAGGCACCCCUCGUCAUUAAGACCUGUUAGUAAGAGCUGUAUUUCCUGUGACCUCUGGUGUCCUAUUCGCGCCAGUUGCACC